ensembl:ncRNA asRNA:CR43454 antisense RNA:CR43454
CGAAAUGGAAACGGGCAUCGGAAUCGGAAUCGGAAUCUGAAUCAGAAUCAGUGGUGCACUCCGAAUGUGAAAGCGAAUAGCAAAUGCGAAAUGAAUGCACAGGAAAUGAGCCCCGGUUAAUGCAUAUUCAUGGGAACAUACUUUGCCGAGAGCCGCGGGCUUUUGCCACUCGUGUUAGUUGUAUGAUUGCGGGCAUUUGGGCGCAACUAAACUGGCUCAUUAUUCGUGUGAAAAUGCCACAAUUGCGAUGGCCCAAAGGGAAGUUCUCCCCAAUUCUCCCAAAAAGUUGUACAAUGGACUGGUGCGAAAACCCGCAUUUGAACAGAUGCAAAACAAUUGCUGCUCUGGGAGUUUCAAAAAUACUAGCUACUCGGCUGUGGGCGAAAAACCAGCAAGGGCCACCUGCCAAAACAGAGGAGCGUAAACAAAAAGCUCGGCCAACGAAAGUGGUCCACACACAUGGCCAGCAGGGCACAGCCUUGCAUAUUUCCAGAAAUCAGAAGGAAUGUGUAGGAAAUGCCUGCCUUUGAGUUUGAGCCGGGACGGUAGAUGCACUGGACUGUCAAUCGCAGACACUCUGUCGUCAAUAUGCGGAAAUAUUACGUAUACGCCCCUGUGUCCCCCGCCCGCCUUCGCCAUCUUGUGCAAGAUGUGAUUGUGCGGUUCACUUAAAAUCGAAAUGCCUCAAUCAGCUCCUGCCAGUUGAGAGAAAAAGCUGUGAUUCUGCCAGGAUAUCUCGACGGCGAAACAAAAACUUUGCAUAAACAAACUAUGAAUACUCGUAUAUGUGCUGAAGUGCAUAUGUGCAUAUCUGAGCACGCAUUGUGCACUUGGCUGUCGGAGCCACUUCGCUUGGCUGGCCAACAAAGCGUUGGCAUGGAGCUGUUCCACUGGAUGUCUCUGUCUUCAGCAUCCUUUUUGCCGUCCUGUCUGCGGGUUGUGUGCACACUGAUCCGGGGAGCUGGUUGCAUAAAGGCAAGAAUUUCCGUAACAAAUACUUUCGUUCCGCAUUUUUCGAAUUUCCCCAUGACGACGCGGUGCAAUUAAACAUAUCACUCACCUUCGAUGGCGCUUGGCGCGGUGCUUCCAUGGGCACGAGGGGGCACCUGUGGCUUGUCGCCAAGGAGGUGCUCCUUUUCCGGCUCCAGGAUGCUGGCGGUCACCGUUUCGCUGGCUCGACGCAGCAUAUGCAAUGGAGUCAAGUUCGCAUCACGAUCGCGUUCGAAAUCUUGCUGGCAGGAGGACAUUUGAUACGAGUCCUCGAAGGGAUUGCUGCUGCGAAAGGCUUGCAAGGGUGGACCCUCACUGCCUGCCACUACAUCCAAUAUAUCU